AUAACCGAGAAGCCGAAUCCCGACUCACUCAGUGACCGGGAUCGGGGGAACCAAGUAUCUGGGGCGAACCCACUGAUUCAGGUGGGAGCGCGGCUCCUUAAAGCGCCAGCCCGACAGCUAACCCCGUAGGCCGACCAAGGAGAUUCG
rnacentral:sRNA from 2 species